GAGUAAAGAUUUCGGUCGCUUUGGGAGGAGCUCGCUUACUAUCAGCUUGUUGGUAGGGUAAUGGCCUACCAAGGCUAUGACGGUUAGGGGGUGUGAGAGCAUGACCCCCAGCAUUGGCACUGAAACACUGGCCAAACGCCUACGGGUGGCUGCAGUCGAGAAUCUUCCACAAUGGGGGAAACCCUGAUGGAGCGAUGCUGCGUGCGGGAUGAAGGCCUUCGGGUUGUAAACCGCUUUUGUAGGGGACGAAAUUUUUGACGGUACCCUUUCGAAUAAGAGGUUGCUAACUCUGUGCCAGCAGCAGCGGUAAUACAGAGACCUCAAGCGUUAUCCGGAUUUACUGGGCGUAAAGCGUCUGUAGGGGGUUUAUUAAGUUCCAAGUAAAAUUUCAAGGCUCAACUUUGAAUUCGCUUGGAAAACUAAUAAACUGGAGUCUAGCAGAGGUGCAUGGAACUUGUGGUGUAGGAGUGAAAUCCGUUGAUAUCACAAGGAACACCAAAGGCGAAGGCAUUGCACUGGGCUAGCACUGACCCUGAGAGACGAAAGCGUGGGGAGCAAAACGGAUUAGAUACCCGUGUAGUCCACGCCCUAAACGAUGAAUGCUAAAUGUUCGGGGAUUCGACCCCCUGGGUGUUACAGCUAACGCGUUAAGCAUUCCGCCUGGGAAGUACGGCCGCAAGGCUAAAACUCAAAGGAAUAGACGGGGAUCCGCACAAGCGGUGGAGCGUCUGGUUUAAUUCGACAGUAAGCGUGGUACCUCACCAGGGUUUGACAUCCCUUGACAGCCUUGGAAACAAGGUUUCCUUCGGGCAAGGUGACAGGUGCUGCAUGGUCGUCGUCAGUUCGUGCCGUGAGGUGUUCCGUUAAGUCGGGAAACGAACGAAACCCCUAUUGCAUGUUACAAUUUCUCAUGCAAGACUGCCCGGAUAUACUGGGAGGAAGGUGGGGAUGACGUCAGAUCUGCAUGGUCCUUAUACCCUGGGCGACACAGGCGCUACAAUGGCAGAGACAAAGGGUUGCAAAACCGCAAGGUGAAGCUAAUCCCAAAAACUUUGUCUAAGUUCGGAUUGAAGGCUGCAAUUCGCCUUCAUGAAGCUGGAAUCGCUAGUAAUCGUGAAUCAGCCACGUCACGGUGAAUAUGUUCCCGGAUCUUGUACUCACCGCCCGUCACACCAAGAGAGUUGGUAGCUCCC
rnacentral:rRNA from 1 species